UACAGAGGGUGCGAGCGUUGUUCGGAAUUAUUGGGCGUAAAGGGCGCGUAGGCGGUGCCACAAGUCACUUGUGAAAUCCCCGGGCUUAACUCGGGGCCUGCAGGCGAAACUGGCAGGCUUGAAUCCGGGAGAGGGAUGCGGAAUUCCAGGUGUAGCGGUGAAAUGCGUAGAUAUCUGGAGGAACACCGGUGGCGAAGGCGGCAUCCUGGACCGGCAUUGACGCUGAGGCGCGAAAGCCAGGGGAGCAAACGGG
rnacentral:rRNA from 1 species